AAAUGAAAGCGAAGGGUUAAGAAUAACCUGUAAAUGGGGAUGUCCGGUCGAAAAAGUUUGUAACUCCUGUUGUGACCACUUACAGAAGGGAUGUACUGGUGGAACUUGUACGGGUGGAUGGAUUAAAACGAGAUGUGAAUGUGAAUGUCCUUCUGGGUAUGUAUAUAUAUACGAAUUUUAAACAAGUAUAGUUUUACAUUUGAAUACAAGGCGAAAUGGGGUAUACAUUAUUAAAACAACGAUCAAACGACAUAUAUAGUGCAUCAUUCAUUUUUAGAAAAAAGUAAAAUUGAUGCAUGUACUACUAUAUGAUAAGCACGACUUCUUCGUAGAUAAAAAAAAGUUUUGAAUAAACUUAAAAGUAGACAAAUUGCUAUCUAAAUCAAAAUAACUAACAUACAACUGUUGAUGUUUCUGUUCUUGGCAUGUACCUUAAGGGAACAGUCAUUAUUUAUCAGCUGAGGGGGUCGGUGCAUUUUAGGGGGGGGGGGGGGUCAUUGCCCAAAAAAUAUCAUACCACUGGGGGGGGGGGUUACCAUAAAAAAAUUUUUAAUUAGGGGGGGUCACACAAUAAAGGUUUUUAUGUCUGACUUGUAUAUGAAUUGUUUACAAAAUUGAAGUAAGUGUGUUAUCUGUGAAAUAAUGUAUGUUUAUCAAAUCUUUGAUAGUGUAAACUGUAAAGCACCAUGCAGCAGGAUAUGCCUAAUUUCUCAAGGGCAGUGAAUCUGAUCACUCCUUGUCACAGUUGUGUAAAUUUACAAUCAAUAGAUUAACAACUCUAAAACGUUUCUCCCUAGUUUUGACCACAGGAAACAGUGAGUUGGAAAGGUUUCUGGACAUGCAUAAUUAACUUUCUAUAGUCAUGAUAGUGUUUAAAUCAUUUUGAUGUGAUUCUUGAGAUGAAAUGGGUGUGUAUAUAUAAUUAUUUUGAUGAAAGCAAGGAUGCAUGUUAGUUAUAUAUGUCCGUCACGUGGUAAUAGGUAUACCUAUUUUAUGAAAUUAUUACAAAGAUAUCGAUUAAGAAUAAAAGAUGAUCUCGAUAUUAUAGGUAUAUCUCUUCUGUAUUCUUUAAAUUUUAAGGUAAUAUUUUUCUAUUCAUUAGUGUUUUUUGCCCUUUUCUCCUUUUAUUCAUAUUUGAACACCAGUGUUCUCUGUUCUUUUUUUAAAUUUUUUUUUGGUCCAUUUUUCUGUAAAUUUUAUCCAUUCUCCGAUAUUCUUUCCUAUCCAGAUUUCAGACCUUAAUAAAAAAAAUACUUGAUGGGCACAAUGGUAUUCACACACACUAAACAAUACACUAUAUGAUUUAGAAAAAGAACAAAUAUAUUCAGCUGGGGCCCCUAAACAAAAAUGUGUACUUGUUCAGAGAAAAUUGAUAACACACUAAACUCUUAAAACAUACAUCUGUACAAAACAAAGAAAGGCCAAAGGUUCCUGGCUUGGUUGUAUAUUUCUUUAUCUCAAAUACUAGUAAAGCAUUUACAUAUUUAAUCAAGAAAGGACAAGAACCAUUUAAUCGGUGUUAUUUUAUUUGCACUUCCUAAACCAUUUGUACAUUUGAAUCCUGGACUCUCCCUCCUCCCCAUUCUUAACUAGAUAUUUUAAAGUUCAAAGGUUAAAAAAAAAAAUACAAGGGACUGUGAUUGGGAUUGAAAUAACAGUCAGUAUUGAAAGUUAUCACCAGUAUACUGAUAAAAUUUGUAGAAUUAUAGGUUGCAGUAAAUAAAUUAAUAAAUUGGAACAUACAAUUUCUGAUAUUUUUUUUUAUAUUUUUAAAGGUACGUGUCAGAUAUUCUUUUUGAAAAAAAAACAGAAGAAAAGCUGUUUGUUAUACUCAGAGCUUCUCAAAGCCGGUUACUAUGUAGCUGUCAUCAUCUCCUCAACACAACUGGGAUUCUUUUUUUUUUUUUUUGGGGGGGGGGUCAACUUUUAAAAUUAUGUUCUAGGGGGGUCAUUAUGUGGUUUUAUAAAAUAAUGGGGGGGGGGGUUCCCAACAUAAAAUUUUAUAUCAAAAAUUUGAACCGACCCCCUCAGCUGAUAAAUAAUGACCAUUCCCUAAGUAUUGAUAUAAGCAUGUACGGAGAUAACACGUUUGAUAAUUAGUAUUAACUGGUUGUAAAAUAGUUAUUUGAUAUAGCAGUGCGGUUAUAAUUGGCAUAUUCUAAAUGAUUAGUGUUUUCUUUUUCUUUCAGAUAAAAGAAACAAAAUAUCCAAAAAGUAUGAUCCGAUGUCAGCGGUAAUUUAGAUAUCGAUAUUAGUUCAUCCUAAGAACAUGAAGAGAUUUAGAAGAAGACUAAAUUAUUGAUCAUAUUUUUUGCGAUCCCCUUUUUCGUUGUGCAAAUAGAAUAGAUUUUGAAUAUUAAAG
rnacentral:lncRNA from 1 species